UUAAUACACCCUCCGAACCACUGAUUCGAAACAAAAGAUUUGUAAUUAAUGACAGAAUUUUCAUUUUUGGGUGGACUAACCCUUUAAAAGAACUUGCUCGUGUGAUACUGCUCAGAUAUAUUGAUUUCAAAGCCACUUUUGUUACGUUUAUUCAAUGCUUUCCUUGCCUUCUUUAGAAUGAGUACUCUUAGAGGUCAAUAAACCAUUCAGCCUUGAUACUAACACUGGAAUCUGAAGUUGCCCCUAACAGUCAUAAAUCUGACUCAUUUGAGUACCAAUCCUUGAGUAAAAUUAAGAAUAAUACAGUCGCCUACAUAAUCCCUUUUUUAUUUCUGCCGAGUUAAAGUCUUGGACAAUGCUGCCGUUGCUGGGAUCCCACUUAAACCCCCUCUCUCUUUGCUGAGGAGCCCAGAACCCAAAUCUCCAGAACUUCAGUGAGACUUGGUGUGUACUGAAAGUGUUGGGUUGGAUCCAGUCUUCCUCUGAGAUAUAUGGAGACUUAAAGUUGGAUUCCAUUUUCACUUUCCAGAAAUCUCUCCAUCCAGCAUCCCUGUCCCCCAGAAGUGGCUCCGCUGCCCCUGAUGACAAGAUGAUGAAAGGAAACAUCUCCAUGUUGCUUGAGCGCAACUGAACCUCCCACAGACAACCUACAAGUGAGCGGCCUUACUGCCUCCUGCCUCCUGCCUUAAUUCUCAUCUGUCCUUCACGUCAGAGCAUGUAGGGGAUGCCAGUCAGGAAAAUUUGCUCCGCUGCAAACGAGGGUCACGUCACAGAGGGGGACGAAGUCCGAAGGUCUGAUUGUCUGGGGAGCAAAUCUGACAUUUGCCUGCAGCCGUUCAUGUAGGCGAUGGCCGAGCUAGCAGCUCUGAGACAGUCUGGAGGAUGUGUGGAUCCCAUUUAGAAAAAGUGCCGGUGUUGACAAGUCGCCACUUCGAUCCACUACUGUAACACAGAAACUCUACCACACCUACAGAGAUCUCACCAAUAUUGUGAAGGUCACCCCUGUCCACUGGAAGAUAAGACAAAGUAAUUCUUCUGUACUACACCAGAGCACAGCACAUCACAGAGCCAUUCAGCCUGAACCAACGAGAGCAGGGUUGGGGAGGGGUGAGGUUUGGCACAAAGUGGCUUACCUUUCAAGAGGCUUGACAUCCGCAACAAUACAGACCUCAUUAAAAGCUCUGGCUUCCACUUUCCAGCUGUCAUUCAUUUAUUUGCACAGAAGGACAGAUGCCAGCAAUCAGCAUUUUCCACACAAAUCUACAUUACUCCAAAAUUUAAGAUGUCUAAUAAAAUUAAGGUCUCAAAACAGUGAAAGAGGCAGCACCCCCUAUGGGAGUCUCAGGAGGAAAA